rnacentral:rRNA from 1 species
GACGAACCGUCCAAACGUUGUUCGGAAUCACUGGGCUUAAAGGGCGCGUAGGCGGGCUGACAAGUCAGGGGUGAAAUCCCACGGCUCAACCGUGGAAGUGCCUCUGAUACUGGCGGCCUCGAGGGAGGUAGGGGCGUGCGGAACUUCCGGUGGAGCGGUGAAAUGCGUAGAUAUCGGAAGGAACACCGGUGGCGAAAGCGGCGCGCUGGACCUCUUCUGACGCUGAGGCGCGAAAGCCAGGGGAGCAAACGGG